UAUUAUUAUUAUUAUUAUUAGGAAACAAGAAGUCAGGGUUCUUUCCAUUGUCCCCAAUAGCCUCUAGUCAAAAAGUUAAAAUUUAGCACUAUCAAAGAUAUUCCCUAGAUCGCCUAAUCCUCACACUUUGCUGCAAUUUGAAGUUAAUUUUCACCUUCUGUAAUCUCCUACCGUUAAAUUUUUCCAAUGCAACAACACGUGAGGACAUACAAUUGUUUUUAUAGAUUUCAAGAUCUAGAAACAAGGAUAAUCACAAAGGCACAGGAUAAGAUGAGGAAUUGAAGAAUGAAAAAUGAAGAUAUGCAAAAGAGAAAUUUUAAGAAACCUUUGCUUCCACGUAUUUCCACUUUACAAAAAGUCUGUGCUUUUCCCCCCAUCCAUUUGCUAAUGGAAGAUUCAUUAUAUUAUCUUGAGCCUGCUGCCAGUACUUUACCAUCUCACAU
rnacentral:misc_RNA from 1 species